UCCCAAACCCAUGUGAACUUACCACUGUUGCCUCGGCGGAGCCUACCCUGUAGCUACCCUGUAGCGUGAUUACCCUGUAGGGUGGUUACCCUGUAGCGUGGUUACCCUGUAGCGCCCCGCCGGCGGAUUUUCAAACUCUUGUUAUUUUUUAAGUCAUCUGAGAGUCUUAUUUUAAAUAAGUCAAAACUUUCAACAACGGAUCUCUUGGUUCUGGCAUCGAUGAAGAACGCAGCGAAAUGCGAUAAGUAAUGUGAAUUGCAGAAUUCAGUGAAUCAUCGAAUCUUUGAACGCACAUUGCGCCCAUUAGUAUUCUAGUGGGCAUGCCUGUUCGAGCGUCAUUUCAACCCUUAAGCCUAGCUUAGUGUUGGGAAUCUAUGUGUGGCCCAAGCUACCCUGUAGCGUGGUUACCCUGUAGUUCCUGAAAAACAACGGCGGAUUUAUAGUGUCCUCUGAGCGUAGUAAUUUUUUAUCUCGCUUCUGUUUAGGCGCUGUAGACCCGGCCGCUAAACCCCCAAUUUUUCGUGGUUGACCUCGGAUCAGGUAGGAAUACCCGCUGAACUUAAGCAUAUCAAUAAGCGGAGGAAAAGAAACCAACAGGGAUUCCCCUAGUAACGGCGAGUGAAGCGGGAACAGCUCAAAUUUGAAAUCUGGCCUUCGGGUCCGAAUUGUAAUUUGCAGAGGAUGCUUUUGGUUAGGUACUUUCCGAGUUCCCUGGAACGGGACGCCUUAGAGGGUGAGAGCCCCGUACGGUUGGAUACCGAGCCUCUGUAAAGCUCCUUCGACGAGUCGAGUAGUUUGGGAAUGCUGCUCUAAAUGGGAGG
rnacentral:rRNA from 1 species